UUACUGGUGGAGCCUAUUUUCAUUAGAUGUUGUUUUAUUAAGGCUCCUUCUAGCUAAUCUUGUUUAGCUUAAAUGGGUAUUUCUUGUAAAAUCCAAGCAAACUAACAGAUCGAUUUCUGACACUUCACAUGUCUCAUUGAUUGAUAAAUAAGGGUUUCCUAGUUCCUUAUGGACUUUAUUUUCAUUGACUGAUUUCGGCUUUUUUCUAACCAUCCUUUGAUUGAUUUGUAGGACUAUCACUCAAGUCCCAGGA
rnacentral:misc_RNA from 1 species